CCUUGUACACACCGCCCGUCAAACCACGAAAGUUGUCUACACCAGAAGCGGAUGAGCUAACCGUAAGGAGGCAGUCUGCCAAGGUUUAGGCGAUGAUUGGGGUU
rnacentral:rRNA from 1 species